rnacentral:misc_RNA from 1 species
AAUUCUCAACCUUAUCAGCAAAAGCUGAUAGUGGCUUGGAUGUGGGGGUUUAUUUUGCUGGCUCCUUUAUCGAGGUCAGCUCCCCUUAAAUGCAUUAGCUGGUGCCCCGUGUGGACUUGUCUAUUGGUGUGAUAACUAUCUACGCCGUGGAUGUCUGCAAUCAAUAUGGGCUUAGCACUGCUUCUAACCGUCUGUUCAUUCGGACAAAAUACAAUGACA